rnacentral:rRNA from 1 species
CCUACGGGGCGCAGCAGUGGGGAAUAUUGGACAAUGGGCGAAAGCCUGAUCCAGCCAUGCCGCGUGUGUGAAGAAGGCCUUCGGGUUGUAAAGCACUUUCAGUGGGGAAGAAAGCCUUGGGGCUAAUACCCUCGAGGAAGGACAUCACCCACAGAAGAAGCACCGGCUAACUCCGUGCCAGCAGCCGCGGUAAUACGGAGGGUGCGAGCGUUAAUCGGAAUUACUGGGCGUGAAGCGCGCGUAGGCGGUCUGAUAAGCCGGUUGUGAAAGCCCCGGGCUCAACCUGGGAACGGCAUCCGGAACUGUCAGGCUAGAGUGCAGGAGAGGAAGGUAGAAUUCCCGGUGUAGCGGUGAAAUGCGUAGAGAUCGGGAGGAAUACCAGUGGCGAAGGCGGCCUUCUGGACUGACACUGACGCUGAGGUGCGAAAGCGUGGGUAGCAAACAGGAUUAGAUACCCCUGUAGUC